AUUUCUGCUCCAUGACACGUUAAAUAGCCGCAGUACUCUGACUGUGCAAAGGUAGCAUAAUCAAUUGGCUUCUAAUUAAAGUCUGGCAUGAAUGAAUAUAUGGAAUGUGACUGUCUUGAGUAUAUUACUAUUAAUUUAGCAGGUAAGUGCAAAUCCUUACAAAAAAUAAAAAAGACGAGAAGACCCUAGAAGCUUCAAUAAUAUUUUGUUGGGGCGACAGAACUACAUUUAACUAGUUUUAACUGACAUGACGCAUACUGGUAGACUAAGCUACUCUAGGGAUAACAGCAUAAUGUAAACGUUUGUGACCUCGAUGUUGGACUAGGUAAAGUAUUCUUUAGAAGAGAGUAUGAUUUGCUCUGUUCGAGCAGUAUUACCU
rnacentral:rRNA from 1 species